AAUAAACGCUGGCGGCGUGCCUAACACAUGCAAGUCGAGCGAGAAAGCCCUUCGGGGUAAGUACAGCGGCGGACGGGUGAGCAACACGUGAGAAUCUGCCCUUUAGUGAAGAAUACUCCCGAGAAAUCGGGCAUAAUACUGCAUAAGUCCCUACGGGGAGAAAGAUGGCUUUAUGCUGUCGCUAGGGGAUGAGCUUGCGUACUAUUAGCUAGUUGGUAGGGUAAAGGCCUACCAAGGCGAUGAUGGUUAACCGGCCUGAGAGGGUGUACGGUCACACUGGAACUGAGACACGGUCCAGACUCCUACGGGUGGCUG
rnacentral:rRNA from 1 species